rnacentral:rRNA from 1 species
GCUCUUGCAUCGAUGAAGAACGUAGCGAAAUGCGAUACUUGGUGUGAAUUGCAGAAUCCCGUGAACCAUCGAGUCUUUGAACGCAAGUUGCGCCCGAAGCCAUUAGGCUGAGGGCACGCCUGCCUGGGUGUUGCACAUCGUUGCCCCUUUGCCUUGGCCAUGU